rnacentral:rRNA from 1 species
GACGAACGCUGGCGGCGUGCUUAACACAUGCAAGUCGAACGGAAAGGCCCUGCUUUUGUGGGGUGCUCGAGUGGCGAACGGGUGAGUAACACGUGAGUAACCUGCCCUUGACUUUGGGAUAACUUCAGGAAACUGGGGCUAAUACCGGAUAGGAGCUCCUGCUGCAUGGUGGGGGUUGGAAAGUUUCGGCGGUUGGGGAUGGACUCGCGGCUUAUCAGCUUGUUGGUGGGGUAGUGGCUUACCAAGGCUUUGACGGGUAGCCGGCCUGAGAGGGUGACCGGCCACAUUGGGACUGAGAUACGGCCCAGAGUCCUACGGGAGGCAGCAGUGGGGAAUAUUGCACAAUGGGCGGAAGCCUGAUGCAGCAACGCCGCGUGCGGGAUGACGGCCUUCGGGUUGUAAACCGCUUUCGCCUGUGACGAAGCGUGAGUGACGGUAAUGGGUAAAGAAGCACCGGCUAACUACGUA